CAACGCAAGUUGUGUUGAAAGUGGUCGAAAAGUAAACUCAUGAUUUAAAAACCCUGGCGCUCAUUCGAUGGUCGAAGCCAGUACCGGUCAGCUUGUUUUGAAUUCAAUAUAUCGAACUUCGAUAGUUAAAAAUAAAAAUUAUUUUAAAAAAAUACUCUCCUGAAUGUCCAUGCACACAAAGGACGUAGAAUUGCUAACAACUUAUUUCGACAAUCCUGUUACAUCAGGUUAUGGACCCAGGAACAUGAAGUUAAUACGAACAAAAAAAAACUGUCGUGCGCGAAGGACAGCGUAGAUUUUUUUGCAACAGUCAUGUGAAGCAAACAAAAAUAAAAAGUACGACGCCUGGAAUUAAUCUGCGAUUCGCUGCGAACAGACGUCAUUUCCGUAAAAAAUGUUGAACUCAAACCAAACACUACUCGUCGAGAAGCUGAAAGGAAGACAUAAUUUCCCAACAUGAAAAUUCGCGAUGGAACCAUGGCUAGAACACGAUGACCUGUGGAGCCGCGUGAUCGGUACAGAAGAGUACAUAGCUGAAAAGAAAAAGGCUACAAAGGCUGAGUCAAAGUUUAUCUUAUCUGUAGACCCCAUAAAUUACGUGGAUAUUCAGGAGUGUGCCACUGCAAAAGAGGUAUGGGAAAAAAUUCAAACUAUUUUCGAAGACUCGGGAUUGACGCGCAAGCUCAGCCUCUUAAGGACCUUGGUAACUACUCAAUUACGAAAAUGUAAAGACAUUGAAGAAUACGUAAACUUUGUAAUUACAAUAGCUCACAAACUCAACAGCAUAGGAUUUAAGGUACCGGACGAGUGGGUAGGAACGCUACUCCUGGCAGGACUACCAGAAGGAUAUCGCCCAAUGAUUAUGGGUCUGGAAAACUCUGGAACAGCAAUAACGGCAGAUUCAGUGAAGAAGAAACUGCUGCAAAACAUCAAGAAUACGAAGAUGGCUAUAAGUGUGAAUAGUUGAUACAGCAUUUUACACAAAUGGAACAAAACCAUAAUUGAAAAACAUGCAAUGUUUUCGGUAUAAGCGCACAGGACACUUUGCCAGCAGAUGCAAAGCAAAGCUAAUCGAACAACUAAGUACAGGCAAACAAAGCAAAAAAUAGAAAGCGCCUACUCAAGGUAACUCGUAUUGGACUUUUCUAUCGUCGAUGGCAAUCAAUGGUAGAAACUGGUUUGGCGACCCAUGUACGUCGCACCAUAUUUCGGCAAAGGAUGAGGCAUUAAAAAACACGAGGAAAUGCUCCGUAGAAAAAGUUCCUAUGGCGAACAAGCAAGGUAUGUCAGCAGGGUCAACCUGAGAUAUCAGCCUAUAGGUUCCCGCAAGUACAGGUAAACAGGAGGUUACAGCAUACAAUGUGCUCCACGUACCGGAAAGCUCAGUUGACCUGCUUUCGAUAAGUCAAAUGGUUAAAAGGAGUUUAUCUGUACAUUUCUCUCCAAAGAUCACAGAGAUCUGCGAUGAGGAGGGAUCAACCUAGGCACAAUGUCAUUAGAAGAACUUUGGCAUAGGAGACUAGGUCAUCUUCAUUACUAAGGCAUAUCACAACUCAGUAAUGAUUGAGUAACAGGAAUAAAGCAAAGUAACAUUGAAGAAAAAUUUUGUAUUCCAUACAUCAAGGGUAUGAUUGCAAAAAAACUGCUUCCAAAAGAAGGGAAAUGUACCAAAGAAAUACUUGAGAUAAUACAUACAGAUUUAUGUGGACCGAUAGAUAGCGCAUCUAUUGGAGGAUCGAGAUAUUUCAUAACCUUAACAGAUGACUUCAGUCGUAAAGCGUUUAUCGAUUGCUUUAAAAAAAAAAGGGUCAAGCCAAAGACGUUAUCGUGGAGUUCAAAACGUUUAUGGAAAAACAGACCGGGAGAGAAAUAAAAUCCAUCUGAUCCGACAACGGAGGUGAAUUCAUGAAUCGAGAGCUGAAAGGGAUCCUGAGAAAAUCUGGAAUCAGACAUCAACGAACAGUCCCACAUUCGUCACAACAGAAUGGUUUAGUUGAAAGAAUGAACCACACUAUCAUUGAGAGAGAAAAAAAGCAUGCUUUUUUGAUGCUGACCUACCAAAACAAUUCUGGGGAGAGGCGGUAGCUAUGACUGUCUAACUAAUUAACAGAUCUCCAGCCAGAGGAAUCAAUGGGAAGACUCCAGAAAAAAUAUGGACUGGACUAAAAUCCGAUUUGAGAAAUUUGAAAGUUUUUAGGUGCAAGGCAAUGACGCAGGUUCCAAAGAGACGAUGCCAAAAAUGGGAUUUUAAGGCAGAAAAACUAAUCUUUGUAAGCUAUGACGAUAACACUAAAGGGUAUCGACUAAUAGACCUGAACAUGUAUAAGAUACACGAAUGAAGAAAUGUAGUAUUCCUGGAAGAAAAGCGAGAACCAGCCAAUGGCAGAUGUAGAAGCGAGUGAAACGAGAAAAAUUCCAAACAGGGAAGCUGUAGGCAGUAUACUUCAUGUAAGCCAAGGAACAAGACCGCAUAUCGCAUACGCGUUAGGUCUAGCUAGCCGAUUCUGUCAAGGAAUCUGUUCUGAAAGGAACUCUCUCUACAAAACUAGUCUUUAAUAUACAAAGUCAUCGAGAAAUUGAGAGCUACAGUGACUCGGACUGGGCAAACAAAGCCGACAACAGGCACUCAGUACCAAAAGUAUCUUUCUGUUCCAAGGAGGGUUCAUAUCUUGGCAAAACAAAAAACAGCGCACAAUAGCGCUAUCCACAAUGGAGUCUGAAUACAUGGCGCUAUCCUCAACGGGGCAAGAAACGUUGUGGUUACGUGCAAUAACCAAAGAGUUAGACCCUGACGCCGUCUCAUCGCAGGUCACAAUUUUUUGUGACAACAAAGGAGCUUCAGAUCUGGCCAAAAAUGCUGGAUAUCGUCCAAGGACGAAGCACAUAGACACCAGGAAUCGCUUCGGGAAUGUGUCGAGAAGAUAGAAGUUAAAAUAUAAUUUGUUCCAACAGAGGAGAUGGUACCAGAUCUCCUGACUAAGGGGCUAUCACGACCAAAGCUGCAAAACUUAAAAAAAAAAGUAGUAUGAGAAAAUACAGAAUAGUUUCAUUUUUUUUUUUUCAUAGUUUCGUUUAUGCGAGAUCGCACAGCACAGAUCGCUAUCUGAAUUCCGAAACCUCGCACAAGGGCCGUGAAGUUUGCCAUUUACAUCUACUACUAGACCGAAAGCCCAUAAGAAUUUUUUUUGAUGUAACAGCCUACCGCUCACAAAUACCUAAAAUUGUAGAGUCCUAUUAAAAAAAAAAAAAAUUGAACGGAAGACAACGCCGAACGUGUAGGAUGGCUUUAUGGGGACACUAACGCUGCAAGCUUUUGUCAAAAAAAAUUGAUUCAAAGAAUUAUUGUAACCUACUGUUCGGUGUUUCAUUAAUUUCUCUUAAUCAUUCACUAAAAUUCAAGGUAAUACGAUCGCCGAACAUUUUGAUUGGCUAGGGGCUACCCACAUUUCCGUAUUUCCGGUGUUCCUUAUAUGACACCAUAGCUUACCGUUCGGCAUUGAUUUUGAAACAUUUAUGAUAUAAAAUAAAAAUAUAAAAUAUAUAUGUUGAACAAAUUAACCAGAUAUAAAUUGUUUGCACCAAUUUUUAGAGAUAAAAAAAUAGUUUAAUUCAUUUUUAUUAUUCUAGAAUCGUGCACUCGUUCAUAAUUAAGAUGCCUUUGCAUACGUUUAUUAUUGCAUAGUUCACAUUGAAAAUAUUGCGGUAUGUCCAGGGCCUUCUGAACAAUAGACAAUAAUAGAAGAGAUAUCAAUAGUUGAUUCGUUAAAAUGCAUUCCCAAACAGCACAAAGCUCCAAAGAAGCAAUUUUUCAGCUCCUUUGUAACUCAUUUCCUCUGAAAAUACUGCGAGCUAUUGAUAUAUAUGUCACCUACUUGUAACAUAUUUUUCAUCAUUCGUUGAGAAUGUUUUAUGUGAAAUCCUUUAAUUUUUUAUCCGUCAAUAAUCCUUUUCCAUGUUAAUACUACAAAUUAACACAAAUAUAACAUCCAUUUAUGCUUUUUAAAAUCCGAAUUGUAUAAAUAUUCAUCCCUAAAUCUUUGAGUACACUUGAGGAUUAUUACAACAAUUCACGUACACACCUAUCUUAUCACCACCUCAAAUGUUAAGAACUUUAAUUUUGAGUUUUUCCAUAAAGAUGUCAGUUGAGAUAUUUAUACGUUCCGACAAUGCUUUCUUAAAGCUUUGUAGAAUACCUUACAUAGAGAUUCUGCAGAGCUUAUUACAAGCUUUGGUUGGGAACUUAUUAGAAGUUUCUGAGUAGCUUCCGGGGAGCUCCAAGGAAGCUCGCAAUUCAGGACUUAGGCCCUACGGUGGAAAACUUCAGGGAGCUUCCGAUACGCUUUUUGCUGUGCUUGCAAGAAGUUAACAGAAAGCUUUUUGUACUGUCUGGGUUACAUGCAUUACGAAUAUGGGUACUUUUCCUUUAUUUUGGAGCACAAUGAAAAGAAAAAUCAUAAAAUAAAUUUUAGGAAACGGACGACAAAUUUUUAUGUAGAGUUGUGUUAUUUUCUUAUAUCUCGAACAACUGCUUUAUCUCGCUUCUUCAUUAUCUCAAUUUUUUCAUACCUCCAAUUAACAAUUCUAUAUUUUUAAAUUCAUUGAAUAAAAGUAUAAUUGAGAUCCACUGAACCAACCAGGUGGGCUUCAAUGUGCGGCAUUUUGCCGUUGUGUCGAUACCCAUUUUCAUGAACGAGUUUUGCGGCGGACGGCGUGACGCCGCUGCUUCAAAUUCGCGUCGCGUCAAUUUGACGCCCGUGAAAAUCCAUCUUUGGGAUACAGUGUUGUCAGUUUGCCAGAAAUGAGGUGCCACUCGCUAAUUAAUGCGGGAAUUACGAAUAGGUAUUUGUGUAGUGUUUUUUGUACUUCAAAUGUCUUACUAAACGCUUUUUUUUUCUCGAUUUGUUGCAUAACUACGCUAGUUGAACCAGUGUUCAAUUUUUAUUCUAUACCUGCAAACUAUAGAUGUCAUGACGCUUCGCUCCGAACGAAAAUGUACCCAGUAAACCAACACGAAUUGAGCAUGUCAAAAACGGAAUUAAAACAAAUCAAAUGAAAUUCAAAAGAAUUGGCACACAGGUCUGUUGAUUCUAUUCAAUUUGUUUUAAUUCGUGGCAAUUCCGUUUUUGACUGGCACAAUUCAUUUCGAUUCGUUUUGGUUUACUGCGUAAACUUGUAACGUCAAAUCAAUUUCCAUGAUAUUCGAUGAGUUUCAGAAUAUCAUACUAUGUAAUGUUUUUUUGGCUUGUAACUUAUCCUUUAAGUUUCGACCCACACUGCAGAUACAUUCCAAUUCCACGAACAUUGAUCAUUAUACGUUUAUGAGUUACAAAUUAAUGACAUAUAUUUCAUGAAGUACAGAUUAAGAUCCAACAAUGAUACAAUACUGAACUUAAUUUAUCACGCAAGCGUAAAAUUAUUUAAAAAAAUAUGUAACUACCAUUCGUCUGCGUCUUACAAUUAGAUACGUUUUUGAAUUCUUUUAAGCAUAUCGAAUUCCACUCCUCUGGAACUAUAUACACAGGUAGAACGUGAAUGUUUUUGCAUGUAAACUCAAAUUUUGGCAGGUUUGAUUAUCACUGUAAUGUAUAAUAUCUAUGUAUAUUAAGGUGAUCCUGAAAACGGUCAUUUCGAAUCUUGACCGGUUCACCCCCCAAAUCGGCUGCAAAUAAUUAAAAAAUGAUUCCCUUAUAUUUUCAAAUUUUUAUCUCAACUCUAACUCGUACCUGCCAAUGUAUCUACCGAACGGAUUUCUAUAAAAUUUGGUAUACGGCGAUUUCGUGGAUCGCUGACUACGCAUCUGAACUCAAAAUUUGAAAACUCAUGACGGCGGAUUCAAUAUGGCGUACCAAAAUCCAAAAAGUGAUUCGAUUGCAAUUAAAUUCAGUGCUCGAGGGUUUUCGAGGUUGCUAAUUACAAAUAUAAACUUGAAAUAACAAAAUUCGAUAAAGAAACCUCCCUGCACCAAAUUUCAUCGAAAUCCAUUCGGUGGAUUUAAUAUGCACCUGAAAGGACUAGAUGGAGAAAUCCACUCUCUUACGGGCACGUAUUAGAAUUGCGAUAAAAAUCUGAAAAAAAUGAAAGAAUCAUUUUUGAAUUAUUCGGAAGUGAUUUGAAGAGCGAGCCGGUCGAGAUUGGAAAAUGACUUUUUUGAGGACCGCCCUAAUCUAUAUACAUAACACGUUCUCGAAGUAUCACUUUUACUAGGACCUCAAAGUGUCGUAAAAAGACAUACUUUGUUUCCUCCGCAAUGAUAUUUUUACCGCUACGCCUCACGAACCCCAUUAAUAUUUCAUUAAGCACUUUCGAAAACAAAAAUGUGGCUCAAAGCAAUCCCACGUAGGAAAACACUUUCAUUCCGGAGUCCGAGGAAAAAUAGAAAACGAUACCGCCAAGCGAUCGUCCAGACUUCGAGAAAAUAAAAAAACGUACCUAACGUAGUGUUAACAAACGUAACGUUUUUUUGUGUACUUAUCAAAUAAAAAACGUUUAUCUGUGUAAUAUCGAUACAUUCGUCCAUCAGGUCCCCGAGACCACCGUUUGAUAUCCAGGAGGCGGAGUUGAGCGCGUUGAGGCUCUCAGAGAAAACCUACUGAACCAGGAACCGCUGCUCCUUGGAGUCUCGGACGGUGCCGAUGCCUGUACCUGUCGAACAGUUCGAAUGAUUUGAUUCGCAUGUGCGAAAACGCCGGUUUAAUUAUACUGAACACAUUCAAUCAUCGAACCUGCUGUACUGCUUGCGGUGUUGAGACCCACUCGUUUGCUGCCAGUUCUCGACGUCGAACGGCCUUCUUGUGCUGCCACCAGAGAAACAGGUUGGCUAAUCCUGCAGAUAGCACCAGAAUUGGCAAUAAAAUCGCCAGCAUUAUCCCGGCAUCUCUAACGCCGAUAACAAGAGCCACUCCUGUUCCGACGGCAAGAAUUAUCAGUACAAAUGCAGCUGCGCAUCCUAUCCGAGAAAAUCCAUAUCGACGUUCUGGAGAAGGAAGGAGGAGGAACUUUAAUUUCGGUGACGAUCGUAUGUGUAGGUAUUUUGUAACGCGAUUCGUCGAUUGAUUCGCUUUACUAAGGACAGAGAAUCGCGCGAAACAAAAAACGAAACCUGCUCUUGAACUUGCAAAUAUUCAAAAGCUCAUGGUUGUGGGUUACUUGGCAACAUAUAUUUGGAAAAAGUUGUGUGCAACCUCAGCCGAUGGCACAAAUUUAUUCACAGAGUCACAUCAAGACUCGUCAAUAAUGAUGAAAUUUAUCUAUAGUUCUCAGAUGUUCGAAUUAACGUCAUUUUGAAACCGAUAAUACAAAGAGCCUGAAAAAUUACCGCACGUAUUAUAUCAAUUCCUUCUAAAUAUCAGCUUACUCAUCGCAGAAUAUAACCGCGAUCAAAAUGUAGAUUUUACGAUUAUUCACGGACGAAUAUUUUACACCAGAUCGACGCCGAGCGAACCAAUCAAUCGUUCUUAUUUUUAUUCUUUUUCACCUCAGGUUUUUCCUCUUCAAUUAAUUUUUACCAUUCUUAUUCUUUGUCGUGCAUACCGCUGCGUGACAAACAGUUGCUGCUUAUUUCGUGUAUAAUCUCAAAUGAAAUCUAGCCAACAAGUAGUAGCUACUGCCUAAGGCGUAGCUGAUCAGCCAAAACAAGCGAGCGAGAGGGGCGCGUGAUUUAAAUAUACGAGGAUCAUAUUGUCGUGCUUAUUUAGUUUUGUCGACGCGUAGUUUGAAAGAAGAAGAACGAACCAAGGUUAAAUGGGAUGGCAAAAAUAUAAUGGGCGUCGUAUUACAAUGGCACAUGGCCACAAACUGUAAAAAUCGACCAGCGGUCAACUCGCUCAUGCAUGUCGUUACAACACAAUGAUUUCCUUGUUUACACCUUGACUCGAAACUUACCAUUUCACAAUCGUUAAUUAGGUCAGUAUACGCACUUUCGCGUACAUCCUUUACUUUGAAUGGGUUUUUCUCAUAAUCAAAUCCAAGGAAUUGCAUUUCGUUAUAUUCUGAUCGCAAUGAGAGUGUAUUACGUUAUUACGAAGUCGUGCAGAUAAAUGCGAGGUCACGGCCAGUUGUGUGCAAAAAACUAGUGAAAUAUCGAUGAUCGAAUUUGAUAUAGAAAAAUUAUCAACAACUUGCAACAUUACAAAUUUCUUUUUCCUAUACUUUCCUAUGAUUUGAUCACAUUAUUCCGUCAAAUAAUAAAAAAUUAUCAAGAAGUUCGAAAGCUGUGAUCGAAGUCAAACGAGUUAAAUCAACUUCAAACAAUACCGAUCAGUUUCCCCUUUGUCGAAAAAAAGUUUAAUCUAUGGAAUUCAAUUAAAAAAGCCGGUUUAUUGACCGCACUGUGGAGCAACUAUAAUAUCGUGCGAUACUUUUGAAUACCAAGAACGUACUUUUAGUCCAAUUUUAACGAAUUAUUAAGUCAUUUUGUUUACAUGUUGAAAAAACUGACACAAUAACACGAUAUUUUUAAAGUUGUCAACAGCUGAACUUACUUUACUCGAACAUGUGAUUUUAAAUUCUUUUCUACAUUAAGAAAUUGAAUUCAUUCAAUCAAUCGUUUUCGAUUUCAAUUUCAAAUCCUGUCUUUAAAAUUGCUUCUUGCGAUUUAUCCGUCUAAUACAUCAAAAUCCCCACCGAAAAUCGGUGACAGCUUGCAGAUUGAUCCGCUCGGCUUGGUUCAAUUUCCAAGUUUCUCCGAUAGGCUUAAUCACGAAUAAUGAAACUCUUGUACCAACAUAAAAUAUAAUCGACAAUCGACGCAUUACGUCUAUAAUCGAAUUCCACGCUCGUCUAUGACGUCAUCGAUAAGAUAACGGGAAAUGUGUAAAAAUCGCCUGAAUUAAGUUCACGUAUUCCUAACGUAUCGAAAUAACGAAUUUAAGUAAACUCAUCUCCUCCCCGUAGUACAAGUCAAAUUUUUAUCCAUACUCUCUGAAUCAACCGCUGCCACAUACGUGAAAAAUACUAUAGUAUAUAUAAUUCCUCAUCUGACCGAGAGACUACAGUAUUUACGAUGCAUACACGGUACCCGGUAUUAUCCACAGUAUGUGCUGUCACGUUGACACGCUGUGGCUUGACGAAAUCAACAUUAACCCAACUUGAGCGACAAAUGAAAUGUGGGCCCGUGCAAAAUGUGCAGCUGUGCUUAUAUGUAAACUGCAUUCGCACACAGGUCGAAAUGUAUAUUUAUUGUCGACGGAACAGCCGUGCGUAAGUUUGCACGUUUAUUCAAAACAUUUGUCACUCCCCCCUAUUUACUUCUCUCACAUUCUCCGUUCUUCAACUUCUCAAAUUAUUUUGUCAAUAAGAUAAGAAGUGUCGUCUGAAUUUUGUAUAUACAUAUAUUAUUUUUUUUUUUCUUUUUUUUUUCCUCGUAGUUUGUUAUUCCGACGGGAGAAAUUUUUUCUUCUUGCAUUCGUGCCGGUUCCUCGAUAACGAGCGUAUGAACAACAUCUCGUACAUGUGUAAUCUUAACGCUGUAUAUCUCGACGAUGACUUACCGGUCGUAAGAGGCGCGGCUUCUGCAGUUCUGUCCGGCAUCGUUGUUCGAAGUUGAGCGGACUGGUCGUUUGCCAUAUUCCGGGGCCGCAGG
rnacentral:lncRNA from 1 species